rnacentral:lncRNA from 1 species
UCCUGGAGGAGGGGGACGUUGAGGUUUGUUACCUUCUUGUGGGGGUGGUCCUUGUGGCUUUCCUGGAUGAGGUGGGGGACCUUGAGGUUUGUUGCCUCCUUGUGAAGGUGGUCCUUCUGGCUUUCCUGGACGAGGUGGGGGACCUUGGGACUGGUUGCCUCCUUGUGGGGGUCGUCCUUCUGGCUUUCCUGGAGGAGGUGGGGUACCUUGGGACUGGUUUCCUCCUUGUGGGGGUGGUCUUUCUGGCUUUCCUGGAUGAGGUGGGGGACCUUGGGACUGGUUGCCUCCUUGUGGGGGUCGUCCUUCUGGCUUUCCUGGAGGAGGUGGGGGACGUUGGGGCUGGUUUCCUCCUUGUGGGCGUCGUCCUUCUGGCUUUC